rnacentral:rRNA from 1 species
AGAGUUUGAUCAUGGCUCAGGAUGAACGCUAGCGGCAGGCUUAACACAUGCAAGUCGAGGGGUAGAGGAAGCUUGCUUCCUUGAGACCGGCGCACGGGUGCGUAACGCGUAUGCAACCUACCUUUUACAGAGGGAUAGCCCAGAGAAAUUUGGAUUAAUACCUCAUAGUAUAUGUCUUUCGCAUGUUAGAUAUAUUAAAGUUCCAACGGUAAAAGAUGGGCAUGCGUCCUAUUAGCUAGAUGGUAAGGUAACGGCUUACCAUGGCAACGAUAGGUAGGGGUCCUGAGAGGGAGAUCCCCCACACUGGUACUGAGACACGGACCAGACUCCUACGGGAGGCAGCAGUGAGGAAUAUUGGACAAUGGGCGCAAGCCUGAUCCAGCCAUGCCGCGUGCAGGAAGAAGCAUCUAUGGUGUGUAAACUGCUUUUGUACGGGAAGAAACACUCCUUCGUGAAGGAGCUUGACGGUACCGUAAGAAUAAGGAUCGGCUAACUCCGUGCCAGCAGCCGCGGUAAUACGGAGGAUCCAAGCGUCAUCCGGAAUCAUUGGGUUUAAAGGGUCCGUAGGCGGUUUGGUAAGUCAGUGGUGAAAGCCCGCAGCUCAACUGUGGAACGGCCAUUGAUACUGCCAGGCUUGAAUUACAAGGAAGUAACUAGAAUAUGUAGUGUAGCGGUGAAAUGCUUAGAUAUUACAUGGAAU